UGGUCAGUGUGUGUUUAGCUCUAAUUCUCUCUUUGGAUUAAUGUGUUGGUUUGGAUCCUCAGUAAGAAUGCAGGUGUGUUUUCUUCUCCUCCUUAUACAGCUUCAUGUCACUGAAGGCUGCAGGCUGAAAGGAAAUGGAGAGACAAGAGAUCACUGCAUACACAGGAGGCUCAGUACUGCUGCCCUGCUCCUGCACUGACCCUCACAGCAAACCUGAGACAUUCACAUGGGAGAAAAACACAAAUGGAAAUAACUGGGUGCAUCAACAAGACCUUCAUCAUCCACACCAGUGAUCACAACAACUUCACCUCCUUCCAAACCAGAACCUCUUCCAUACAUCCCUGUUGCUGUGGUGAUUGUGAUUUUUCUGCACAUUAUUGUGGCUUUCGUUUUUUGCUUAACCAGAAAGAAAGGUCCUGGUACAAUUCAUUACAGCAGAGGUGAUAGAGCUGGAACAGUGAGUCUGCAGUAGAGAAGACCUCAAUUUGCUGAUUCAUUAAUAAAUUAAUCAAGAGAAUUGUUUAAAAAUUGCCUUGCAUAAAUUGUUCUGUAAAUACUGUAGCUUCAUUUCUUAUUCACAGUUUGUUCUCUCCAAACCUUUCUAGCUUUCCCUUUGAUACUUAAUAGUAUUUUAGCUAAAUCACAGAAAAUGUGGUUUGAUUUUAAAGGGUUUUUUAAAGGGUUUGUAUCUGAUGUUCACAUGCUUUUGAUGCCUGCUUCACUUUCACAAUAUUUACAUCAUUGAAAGCUAGACACAUUGUAUAAUUUCUUCACAAAAUAUUGUAAUGUUCUUGGUUCUGGAUUGGAACUGAGUUAUUCUUCAGAGAGAACAAAUACAUCUGUUUCACAAAGAUUAUUGUAAGCAUACAUUCUAGUAUUGAUCAGCUUUGCCAGUCAUCCGUUUUCCUGAUGCUGGGUGCCUGGUCCAUUGCCCAAAACAACUCUUCUCAGCCAUGGAGCUGCUUUUAUAUCACCUGUUACCUGAAGGAACUGGAUGAAGAAUUCAUCAUCUCUUUCUUUUUCUGUCUUUCAGCAGUUCAGUAUAUUUUUCAGUAUAUACUUCUUUUUGCUCAGUAUAUUUUCCUCUAGCAUUCUCAAUUAGAGCUUUUCCCCAUUAAAUGUUGAAGCUCAGAAUUCCAGACCAUCACAGCUUCAGGGUCGAUGGAUUGAUCUUGAGCUCACUGUCAGUAUGAAGUUUCGCAUUAUCUCCUGUCUCUGUGUGGGCUUCUGCUUCUCCACACCAUACAAAAACAUCCUGUUAGAUGGAUAGAUGGCUCAAAAUCAAGCAGCAACCUGAAAAAACAAUCUAUCAAUUAAGAUCAUAAUGUGCAGUAACACUAAAAUGCCAAUAGAUUGAGAGGUCAGAUCUUCAACAGUAGACACGGUCAUGUAAACCUCAUGCAAAAUAUAAUAUACAAUAUACAAUAAAAUGCAUGUUAACAAGAAGAAAUGCAAAUUAACACUGCUUUUGUUCGAUGCAUUAAAAUGUAUCAGUGUUAAAUAGUUUAUCAGUGUUAGACGAUUAAUAAGGAUUCAGAACAUACACUCAGUUCUGCUGUGCAAAAGACAUGAGCGACUUUCUCACUUCUAUGUGGUCAAGGCCAUACUGCUAAUUUUUCACUUCCUGUUUUAACUGAAAGUGUGUUCAUUAUGAUGAGACACGGUGCAGCAGUUGGUCAGUGUGUGUUUAGCUCUAAUUCCCUCUUUGGAUUAAUGUGUUGGUUUGGAUCCUCAGUAAGAAUGCAGGUGUGUUUUCUUCUCCUCCUUAUAAGCUUCAUGUCACUGAAGGUGAGUCUGCUGAUCUCUCUCUCUCUCUCUCUCUCUCUCUCUCUCCUGUUUAAUAUGUCAGGAAAUACCAAAUGGAAUGGAAAUAAAAAUAUAAACAUUAGAAAAUGUUCAUUAUGGGUGUUUCAUCAAACCUGCUUAACACUUUAAGUAAGAACUUUCUACCAGGACUUUAUUAAUCCCCAUCUUUGUCCUGGGUUCAUGUAGAAUGCUGAGUCUCCUUCAUCAUGAUUGCUGUUCUUCUUGUUAUUCGUCAUGGUUCUCUUCUUUUAAAGCAUCAUUUCAAAGAUGCUUUAAACACUGUGUGUGUAAACUCUUCACAGAAUGGGUAGAUGAUGUCACUCAACUGCUUACCCAUGUGGUCAGUUCACACUGUCACUUCCUGCAGAGUUUCAGUGCCUCAGAGUAACAUGUGCAUGUGAGCAUUGUGUAGUUUGUGGAUUAACACUUGACCAUGUGUGUGACAAAUGAUGAGAGAUCUUUACAUUCAAACUGACACUAAAUUAUCUCUUUCUUUUGAUUAAUUUGAGAAAUAUUGUUUUAUUCUGCUCUUAUUGUCUCUUUCACAAACACGUUUGCCUGACUCUGUAGAAAUGUCAUGUAAGGAGACCACAGGGCUGUGUGCUAUGUGCCCUGUCAAGACACUGCAAAAUGAUUGGACUGAGGUAGAGCCGGCCUACCUGGAGGAGAUUAAGACUCUGGAGGACUGGUGCCAGAGGAACAACCUCCACCUUACCGUCAGCAAGACUAAGGAGCUGAUAGUGGACUUCAAAAAAAGUAGGAGAGGAACUAACAGACCCCUGUGAUCAACAACAGCACAGUGGAGUGAGUGGACAGCUUCAGAUACCUUGGUGUUCACAUCACGCAGGAACUGUCAUGGUCCUGUCACAUCAACACCGUGGUGAAGAAGCGUCUCUUCCACCUCAGAGGCUUGAGAGACUUUAGACUGCCCGCUAAGUUGCUAAGGAACUUUUACUCCUGCACCAUAGAGAGCAUCCUGACGGGAAACAUCACCACCUGGUUUGGGAACCAGGUUUUGAGGACAGACGAGCUCUUCAGAGGGUGGUGCGAUCAGCUGAGCGCAUCAUCCGUACCAAGCUCCCUGACCUGCACUCGAUCUACAACAAGUAGUGCUGGACCAAGGCCAGGAAGAUCGUGAAGGACCUCAGCCAUCCCAACAAUGGACUUUUCUCACCGUUGAGGUCAAGCGCUUCCACUCCCUGAAGGGCAACACUAGGUGUGUUUACAUGGACACUUUUUAAUCAGAUCGGACUGAAUUCAAUCAGAUUGACGAAUCCGAUCGCAGCGUUUACAUGAGCACGGUAUAAGGUAAUCAGAUUGUAAUGCGCGUUUACAUGACACAUGAUUAGAAUCGGAUUAGAUCUUUUGACAUGCUCACAAUCCACAAAAACAUCCGUAUGUCAUACGUCAUUUGUGUAUUGAUGAGGCUCUCACACACUGUGUAUGUCUAUCUAACAGGUAAGCAUCUGGCAAGUAACACAUAUCAAUACAAUAUGUAUCAACAUCCGUAUGUCAUACGUCAUUCUUGCGUCAUUGCACAUGCGCAGAACUUUCCAGGAACAUAUUCCAUCCGAUUAAGUGUUUACAUGUCCUCUCGAUAGGACUAAAAAUGGUUUAAACCACCCCUUACCAACUGACUGAAAUUUUAAUCAGAUGUGGCAAAUUUCAUCCGAUUGACGUGUUUACAUGACACUUUUUUAAUCUGAUUGUGCUUCUAGUCCUGAUACGAUCGGAUUACAAGUGUCCAUGUAAACGCACCUACUGAGAGACUGAGGAGAAGCUUCUUCCUGCAGGCUAUACGGUCUCACAAUCAGAAUCAGAAUCUCACAUAGGACUCAACUGAUUAGACCUACUAUGCUCCUACACACGUGUUGGAACUCCAACCAUCCACACCGGACAUUUGCACAUUACAGGACUGUGGCACACAAUAAACACACAAAUGUACAUCUGCACAUUUGCACAUUUCAAGACUGUGCACACAAUACAAACACAUAAGCACACAGUCUGCUCCCGUUUACAUACAAAGAGAACUUAUGCACAUGCACUUUAAAGAUGGACAAUACCAUUGCUCUCAUCACCUAAUUCCACUUCGUGACCACCCCGUACUGCUGUCCUUGGACACUAUUGCACACUACACACUUCACUUUAUAUAAUUUUGCAAAAUUUUGUACUGCUGCUGUCUACAACACAGUUGCCGUAUUUUAC